rnacentral:rRNA from 1 species
UGUGUAGGCGGUCCCCUAAGUUUGGUGUGAAAUCUCCCGGCUCAACCGGGAGGGUGCGCCGAAAACUGGAGGACUAGAGUGCGGGAUGGGAGAGUGGAAUUCCUGGUGUAGCGGUGAAAUGCGUAGAUAUCAGGAGGAACACCGGUGGUGUAGACGGCUCUCUGGACCGUAACUGACGCUGAGACACGAAAGCGUGGGUAGCAAACAGGAUUAGAUACCCUGGUAGUCCACGCCCUAAACGAUGCAUAUUUGGUGUAGGUCAUUCAGUUGAUCUGUGCCGGAGCUAACGCGUUAAAUAUGCCGCCUGGGGAGUACAGUCGCAAGGCUGAA